rnacentral:rRNA from 1 species
UAGGGAAUCUUCGGCAAUGGACGAAAGUCUGACCGAGCAACGCCGCGUGAGUGAAGAAGGUUUUCGGAUCGUAAAACUCUGUUGUUAGAGAAGAACAAGGACGUUAGUAACUGAACGUCCCCUGACGGUAUCUAACCAGAAAGCCACGGCUAACUACGUGCCAGCAGCCGCGGUAAUACGUAGGUGGCAAGCGUUGUCCGGAUUUAUUGGGCGUAAAGCGAGCGCAGGCGGUUUCUUAAGUCUGAUGUGAAAGCCCCCGGCUCAACCGGGGAGGGUUGUUGGAAACGGGGAGACUUGGGUGAAGAAGAGGAGAGUGGAAUUCCAGGUGUGGCGGUGAAAUGCGUAGAUAUAUGGAGGAACACCAGUGGCGAAGGCGGCUCUCUGGUCUGUAGAUGACGCUGAGGCUAGAAAGCGUGGGGAGCAAACAGG